ACGGAAACCAACCUGUCACUCGACCAGUUAAUUGUUUCAAAAUAUUCUGCUUUGAUAACUACAUGUUUAAUACACAUGAAGAAUUUCGUUUCCAUAGAUGUCCCCUCUGAUUUAUCCUUCCAUAAAAGUACAAUAAAAUCCCAAGUGAUAUUCUUUGGUCAAUACAUAAAAAUUACUUAUAAUCAACAAUGUUUAUUUAAUUCUUUAUAAAACGUUUAAAGACAGAUCACUCGACUAGUUUUCUCUCAGUUUGAUCUUCGUCCUUCGAUCUUUGAUAAGUAUUACCGUUAGCUAUUCCACAAUUUGUUGAAAGAAAGCUCGUAGAAUGCAUAGAUAAUAUAUACCCACUCUUAAAUCUCACUAGGAAAGUUUUAUUUAUCAUAAUAAUAUGAAAACUCGAAAACGUCGCGCCUUCGCGCUGCCAUGUUUGAUAAAAUCAAUCGGCUCCGCUCCCCCCGGAUUGAAAAC